GAUGACUGAGGUCUAAAGGCGACAAGUACGCCUUGAGGAGGAGCCUGCGUCCGAUUAGCUAGUUGGUGGGGUAAAGGCCUACCAAGGCUCCGAUCGGUAGCUGGUCGUGAGAGGAUGAUCAGCCACACUGGGACGUGAGACACGGCCCGACGAACUCCUACGGGAGGCAGCAGUGGGGAAUAUUGGACAAUGGGCGCAAGCCUGAUCCAGCAAUGCCGCGUGGGUGAAGAAGGUCUUCGGAUUGUAAAGCCCUUUUGGCGGGGACGAUGAUGACGGUACCCGCAGAAUAAGCUCCGGCUAACUUCGUG
rnacentral:rRNA from 1 species